rnacentral:tRNA from 1 species
GGAGCGAUGGUGUAGUUGGUUAUCACGUCUGUCUAACAUCUUCACAGACGGUCCUCAGUUCGAGUCUGGGUCGCUUCA